rnacentral:rRNA from 1 species
UACGAAGGGGGCUAGCGUUGCUCGGAAUCACUGGGCGUAAAGGGUGCGUAGGCGGGUCUUUAAGUCAGGGGUGAAAUCCUGGAGCUCAACUCCAGAAUUGCCUUUGAUACUGAAGAUCUUGAGUUCGGAGAGGAGGUAGUGGUGAACUGCGAGUGUAGAGGUGAAAUUCGUAGAUAUUCGCAAGAACACCAGUGGCGAAGGCGGCUCACUGGCCCGAUACUGACGCUGAGGCACGAAAGCGUGGGGAGCAAACAGG